AGGGAAUAUUGGGCAAUGGGCGAGAGCCUGACCCAGCCAUGCCGCGUGCAGGAAGAAGGCUUUCUGAGUCGUAAACUGCUUUUGACAGGGAAGAAUAACCAGUACGUGUACUGGGAUGACGGUACCUGCAGAAUAAGCACCGGCUAACUCCGUGCCAGCAGCCGCGGUAAUACGGAGGGUGCGAGCGUUGUCCGGAUUUAUUGGGUUUAAAGGGUGCGUAGGCGGCUUUUUAAGUCUGGGGUGAAAGCCCGCUGCUCAACAGCGGAACUGCCCUGGAUACUGGAGAGCUUGAGUACAGACGAGGUUGGCGGAAUGGACUGAGUAGCGGUGAAAUGCAUAGAUACAGUCCAGAACCCCGAUUGCGAAGGCAGCUGACUAGGCUGUUACUGACGCUGAGGCACGAAAGCGUGGGGAGCGAAC
rnacentral:rRNA from 1 species